CACGUAGGGGACGAGCGUUGUCCGGAUUUAUUGGGCGUAAAGAGCUCGUAGGCGGCUCAUUGCGUCAACCGUGAAAACCAGCAGCUCAACUGUUGGCUUGCGGUUGAUACGGGUGGGCUGGAGUUCGGUAGGGGAGACUGGAAUUCCUGGUGUAGCGGUGAAAUGCGCAGAUAUCAGGAGGAACACCGGUGGCGAAGGCGGGUCUCUGGGCCGAUACUGACGCUGAGGAGCGAAAGCGUGGGGAGCGAACAGG
rnacentral:rRNA from 1 species